GCCCCCCAGAGUCCUUCCUCUGCAGGUCUAUCUGUCUGAGUGGCUACAAAAGGAGGAAAAGUAAAACUGAGGUGGACUUGGAGUAUUUAAUGACUUCCAAGUUCAUUUCAAACAUAA
rnacentral:snoRNA from 1 species